GCCAGCAGCCAUAUCACCCUGCAAAUCACAACUGGCAACCCCCUGAAGUUAAGCGGGUGUGAGCCUGGUCAGUACCUGGAUGGGAGACCUCCUGGGGAAAAACUAAGGUUGCUGCUGGAA
rnacentral:rRNA from 1 species